AAAGUACUAAAAAGCACAUUAGAAAGGAAAAUUUGUAAGCUACUCAAGAAAAUUUUUUUUUCUGUAGAAAAAAAUUGCAAGUGUGUCUGAUGAAGAAAAGACGAAGGUGUGAGGAGAGAGAGCGAAGAGUAAGAGCGAGAAGCGGGAAGAAGAAUCUAAAUAAAUGAAGAUAAAAUUUGAAGAAAAAUUUGUAGUUGUCGUAUGAGGAUCAAAAUGAAGGAGCAGGGAGCUAGAAACAGGCCCUCGAAUGCGUUUUGAGGUCAAAUGGAUACUUUCACGUAUGGAUACUAUUAGUAGAAGACCAUUUUUCGUUCGUUUUUUAAAGUGAGGCCAAAUUUCGUGUGGACAUCUGAAUAGGAAUCAUUUGUACAAAUUUCUCAAUUAAAAAAAACAUUUUUUUAAAAAAAAACACUUAAUUGUGCCUAUACACUUGAUCCCAGCCAAAAGGCACUUAAUUGUUCCUUUUUUUAUUAUCACUCUACACUUAAAAACACUUAUCCUAAAAGUCAUCGUAACUUAAUUUCAAA